AGUGAUGAUAUCGCAUUCACCAUGCAUUAUUUCUGGAUUCGCAAUGAUGUAGAAGUUGUUGAAGCGUUAGUUCAACUGAAUGUUGACAUGAAUUCAGCGUGGAUAGAAGCUUGGCAAUACAUUGAAUUACGUGAUGUUAAUGAUGGAGUGCUGAAACGUUUGAAGGCAAAGAUAGAGGACAUACCCAUGGUUUCGUCGUUAAUGCAGAAAGUGCAGGAGCGCCCAGUGCAAGGCAAAGUCAAUG